GGAUGUGAGGGCGAUCUGGCUGUGACAUGUCACCCCAUCGAUCGCCAGGGUUGAUUCGGCUGAUCCGGCUGGCUAGGUGGAUGUCCCCUUCCUCCCUCAACAACCCAUGUGUGUCCCCCCCAAAGCUGCACACUCAGUUGAAGAGGAUGACCACCCGAUAGAGGAGGACCAUUCCGCAGUCGGGUGUACGAGCAGCUGCAUGCCCCUGCUAGAACCUCCAAACAAGCUCUCUAAAGAGGGUGUCUUUCUUUGAGUGAACGUUUGGCCCCUUUGUCAAAGGUAAGAGACUGAGAGUGUGUGUGGCCGUAUGCGCAUCUUCU
rnacentral:snRNA from 1 species